rnacentral:rRNA from 1 species
UUUAUGGAGAGUUUGAUCCUGGCUCAGGAUGAACGCUGGCGGCGUGCCUAAUACAUGCAAGUCGAGCGAACAGAUAAGGAGCUUACUCCUUUGACGUUAGCGGCGGACGGGUGAGUAACACGUGGGUAACCUACCUAUAAGACUGGAAUAACUCCGGAAACCGGGGCUAAUGCCGGAUAACAUGUUGAACCGCAUGGUUCUACAGUGAAAGACGGUCUUGCUGUCACUUAUAGAUGGACCCGCGCCGUAUUAGCUAGUUGGUGGGGUAACGGCCUACCAAGGCGACGAUACGUAGCCGACCUGAGAGGGGGGCGGCCAACACGGGCACUGAGACACGGUCCAGACUCCUACGGGCAGCAGUAGGGAAUCUUCCGCAAUGGGCGAAAGCCUGACGGAGCAACGCCGCGUGAGUGAUGAAGGUCUUCGGAUCGUAAAGCUCUGUUGUUAGGGAAGAACAAAUGUGUAAGUAACUGUGCACAUCUUGACGGUACCUAACCAGAAAGCCACGGCUAACUACGUGCCAGCAGCCGCGGUAAUACGUAGGUGGCAAGCGUUAUCCGGAAUUAUUGGGCGUAAAGCGCGCGUAGGCGGUUUUUUAAGUCUGAUGUGAAAGCCCACGGCUCAACCGUGGAGGGUCAUUGGAAACUGGAAAACUUGAGUGCAGAAGAGACAGUGCUCUUCCGAUGUAGCGGUGAAAUGCGCAGAGAUAUGGAGGAACACCAGUGGCGAAGGCGGCUUUCUGGUCUGCAACUGACGCUGAUGUGCGAAAGCGUGGGGAUCAAACAGGAUUAGAUACCCUGGUAGUCCACGCCGUAAACGAUGAGUGCUAAGUGUUAGGGGGUUUCCGCCCCUUAGUGCUGCAGCUAACGCAUUAAGCACUCCGCCUGGGGAGUACGGUCGCAAGACUGAAACUCAAAGGAAUUGACGGGACCCGCACAAGCGGUGGAGCAUGUGGUUUAAUUCGAAGCAACGCGAAGAACCUUACCAAAUCUUGACAUCCUUUGACCGCUCUAGAGAUAGAGUUUUCCUCUUCGGAGGACAAAGUGACAGGUGGUGCAUGGUUGUCGUCAGCUCGUGUCGUGAGAUGUUGGGUUAAGUCCCGCAACGAGCGCAACCCUUGAACUUAGUUGCCAUCAUUCAGUUGGGCACUCUAAGUUGACUGCCGGUGACAAACCGGAGGAAGGUGGGGAUGACGUCAAAUCAUCAUGCCCUUAUGAUUUGGGCUACACACGUGCUACAAUGGACAAUACAAAGGGCAGCGAAACCGCGAGGUCAAGCAAAUCCCAUAAAGUUGUUCUCAGUUCGGAUUGUAGUCUGCAACUCGACUACAUGAAGCUGGAAUCGCUAGUAAUCGUAGAUCAGCAUGCUACGGUGAAUACGUUCCCGGGAACACACACAACGCCAGUCACACCACGAGAGUUUGUAACACCCGAAGCCGGUGGAGUAACCAUUUUGGAGCUAGCCGUCGAAGGUGGGACAAAUGAUUGGGGUGAAGUCGUAACAAGGUAGCCGUAUCGGAAGGUGCGGCUGGAUCACCUCCUUUCU